AUGGAUUCUGACGACAAGAAGUUUGGCAAAGGACCUAGGGAGCUCACUGGUGCUGUUGAUUUAAUAAGUCAGUACAAAUUGGAGCUGCACCAUGAUUUCUUUUGCAAGAGGCCUUUGCCACUUGCAAUCUCAGAUACACAUUACCUUCACAAUGUAGUGGGGGACACUGAAAUUCGGAAAGGAGAAGGAAUGGAGCUAGAUCAACUCGUUCAGAAUGCAUACUUAAGGGACAAGUCUGCUUCUAUUAAGCCCUUUGAUAUGGAAACACUGGGGCAAGCAUUUCAGCUUCGAGAAACUGCUCCAGUAGAUUUACCCUCUGCUGAAAAAGGUAUACCUACCAUUUCGGGCAAACCGAAAAGUGAGUCCAAGGACAAAGAGAAAAAACAUAAAAAGCACAAAGACAAAGAUAAGGACAGGGAGCAUAAGAAGCACAAACAUCGACAUAAGGAUCGGUCUAAAGACAAAGACAAGGACAAGGAUAGGAAAAAGGAUAAGCAUCAUGAGAAGAAGAGGAAGCAUGAGGGGACGGAGGAUUCGGCAGACGUGCAUAAGCACAAAAAAAGCAAGCAUAAGAGUUCCAAAACCGAUGAGAUGGGUAAUGGACUUAGUUAA
rnacentral:rRNA from 1 species